UUUUCUUUUUCUUUCUUUCUUUUUCUUUUUGUGCUUUUUUCUUCUGUCUCUCUCUGUCUGUGUGGUUCUUCAAGAGAAUGGGAAGGUGUG
rnacentral:ribozyme from 14 species